rnacentral:tRNA from 1 species
GCUUGGUAGCUUAGUUGGUAAAGCACUUGUCUAGCAUACAAGAGUCGUGGGUUAGAAUUCCACCAAGCA